UACAGAGGUCUCAAGCGUUGUUCGGAUUCAUUGGGCGUAAAGGGCGCGCAGGCGGCCCUUGAAGUCAGGCGUGAAAGCCCCGGGCUCAACCUGGGAGGUGCGCUUGAUACUCGAGGGCUUGAGUGCGGGAGAGGAGAGUGGAAUUCCCAGUGUAGAGGUGAAAUUCGUAGAUAUUGGGAAGAACACCGGUGGCGAAGGCGGCUCUCUGGACCGUAACUGACGCUGAGGCGCGAAAGCGUGGGGAGCAAACAGG
rnacentral:rRNA from 1 species